AUGGCUCACUUCAGUAGAGUUCUGGAACUUUCCCAACCCAAAGACUCUAAAACAAUUUGGAUCACCAUUCCAUGGUAUGUGAGAUGGGGCAACCAAGAGCCAAUAUGGCCAAUCUCCUUUACUGCUCUGAAUGCAGCGCCUACAGCGAGACUCUCAGCACUGGCACAGCCCAAGAAAGACUUCUCGGGAUUAAACAGAUGCCAUCGGACCAGAAGCAAAGAGGAAGAGCAUCUCCCCCCUAGGAGGAUGUUGCGUUCUUCCUGCAAGGCGGCCCAGUACGAACACAUUGUCCACCUAUCAACACCCAAGAGGAGAUCCACCAGCUCCCAGGAAAUUAGGUAUCCUCACACAACCUGGUGUGAGCACAGCUGUCCGAUCUGGCACCUCGACCCCAAAGUCAAGACUGCUUACGUCUCACCACGCCUUAGACAGCUGGCCAGUCCCAAAACCAACCAUCCUAGCUUCCAGAGCAACAAGAUCGUGGAGACUUGCAUCUCGCAGACUGCUAAAAGUGCACAGACCACAUCGAGGCUGGAUCUGCUGGCUUUGUCCAAAAAAAGAGAGGAUACGAUGUUCUAUGACAGAGGACGUCCAGAGCAGCCUAUUUGGCUGGUGUCGAAGGGUGCAAUGAAAGCCAAGGCCAGUCCUCGGAUCUCAGAGCUGUCAUUGCCCAAACUGCUUUCCACGGACUACCUUCCUCCAAAGGACUGAAGAAUGUAAGCCUUGUAAAGUGCACUUGUACUAUCAAAAUGCAAAAAAAACAACAACAAAAAAACAGAGAGAAAGGGCGUGGUUAAAGACUGAAAUAAAAGCUCUCUGAGAAGGGUACA
ensembl:lncRNA